CUCUGCACUCCAGGUCCUCCAGGAACACCGCUCCUCUCCUCCUGUCUGAGAGCCCAAAAUACCCAUAAGGGCAUUCAAGGACCAGAACAGGAACUCUUUAACACGCUUUACACGAUGCUCUGAUGUGUUCAAUCAGCGCUCCAGGCCCUGACCCAACAGCUCCCAUUCGCAGGGCUACGAAACGACAGCUGUGUGUCGCUGGGAGCACUGGGUGUGCAAACAGCACUCGCUGCAUCCCCAGCAGUGAUUGCAGCCCUUUGCUCUCUGGGCUGCUCACACAGAUCUCAGCAUCUGCUAGAUAUUUUAGGGUUAAAAGCAGGGAUUUCUAUGAAAAUAAGCGAUAUUUUAGGGUUAAAAGCAGGGAUUUCCAUGAAAAUAAGCGAUAUUUUAGGGUUAAAAGCAGGGAUUUCCAUGAAUAUAAGCGAUAUUUUAGGGAUAAAAACAGGGAUUUCUAUGAAAAUAAGCGAUAUUUUAGGGGAAAAAAAGGGAUUUCUAUGAAAAUAAGCGAUAUUUAAGGGUUGAAAACAGGGAUUUCCAUGAAAGUAAGCGAUAUUUUAGGGGAAAAACAGGGAUUUCUAUGAAAAUAAGCGAUAUUUUAGGGUUAAAAACAGGGAUUUCUAUGAAAAUAAGCGAUAUUUUAGGGUUAAAAGCAGGGAUUUCUAUGAAAAUAAGCGAUAUUUUAGGGGAAAAGCAGGGAUUUCCAUGAAAAUAAGCGAUAUUUUAGGGUUAAAAACAGGGAUUUCCAUGAAAAUAAGCGAUAUUUUAGGGUUAAAAACAGGGAUUUCCAUGAAAAUAAGCGAUAUUUUAGGGUUAAAAACAGGGAUUUCCAUGAAAAUAAGCGAUAUUUUAGGGUUAAAAACAGGGAUUUCUAUGAAAAUAAGCGAUAUUUUAGGGGAAAAGCAGGGAUUUCCAUGAAAAUAAGCGAUAUUUUAGGGUUAAAAACAGGGAUUUCCGCGAAAAUAAGCGAUAUUUUAGGGUUAAAAACAGGGAUUUCUAUGAAAAUAAGCGAUAUUUUAGGGUUAAAAACAGGGAUUUCGAUGAAAAUAAGCGAUAUUUUAGGGUGAAAAACAGGGAUUUCUAUGAAAAUAAGCGAUAUUUUAGGGCUAAAAACAGGGAUUUCUAUGAAAAUAAGCGAUAUUUUAGGGUGAAAAACAGGGAUUUCUAGGAAAAUAAGCGAUAUUUUAGGGUUAAAAGCAGGGAUUUCCAUGAAAAUAAGCGAUAUUUUAGGGUUAAAAACAGGGAUUUCUAUGAAAAUAAGCGAUAUUUUAGGGGAAAAGCAGGGAUUUCUAUGAAAAUAAGCGAUAUUUUAGGUUAAAACAGGGAUUUCUAUGAAAAUAAGCGAUAUUUUAGGGGAAAAACAGGGAUUUCUAUUAAAAUAAGCGAUAUUUUAGGGGAAAAACAGGGAUUUCUAUGAAAAUAAGCGAUAUUUUAGGUUAAAAACAGGGAUUUCCAUGAAAAUAAGCGAUAUUUUAGGGGUUAAAAACAGGGAAUUCUGUGAAAAUAAGCGAUAUUUUAGAGGAAAAGCAGGGAUUUCUAUGAAAAUAAGCGAUAUUUUAGGGUUAAAAACAGG